UGAGCAUUAGUGGUUGUGAUGCUUGUUGCCUGCAGCCCCCACUUUGUAUUUCCCCUCCCAGGCCUCUUCUGGCUCCUGUCAUGCUGCUGGAGUGCAGCUGAUCUGGUGUCUCUGCUUAUCUUGAGGUGGCUGGAGGAAGAAAUCUCUCUAGGAAGCACCAGAACAUAUACCAGUAAUGAUGAGGCCAUAUGGAUGAUCUUGUGACAGAGGUAGGAAGGGAGCACAUGGCAGGGAGUGAGGUAUCCUGGCAGAACAAUCAUGCCACCCCCUUUGGCAUGGCUUUCUACAGAGAUGGUACUGUUUGGGUUGUUGUCUUUUUUUCAUUCUUCCCUGCUUGUCAGCAGGGAGCAUAUGGUGAGGAACGGGGGAAGAGAAGGCAAAAUCCUGAUAUCACUUCCACUCUGAACAAAAGCUAGGCAUCCCCUACAGAAGCCAAAAUCUAUCCUGAUAGAAUUGCCCUGCGGAAACAGAGCUGUCUCCUUGUUCCCAUAACGGAGGAACUUACAUGUCCACAGGGGGUAAUGGAAUUGCUCCUAUGCAAUUGUUGGGCAUCUCAGAGUUGAUCACAAGCUGUACUUUGGCUGUCCACUAGGUAAAAUAAAAUUCUGUUCAAAAUGUACAUGCAUUGUAAUGAGCCUCAGGCACUCUAUCAUUCCAUCAAGAAAAUCUUCCGGAUGAAAAAAUUGUAUCCACCCAAUUUAAUAUAAGUAGAUAUUUAGCAUUUUGUAAGAUUGUUUCAUUGUCGGGGUUUAAAAAAAUUUUUUUUUAUUGUGAAACUGGAUUAUUUUCCUCCUGUGUAGGUUAUUUCUCUUUCUUUAUUUUUACAAGCACUUUAGCAAAACAUUGUUGUUUUUUUUAUCAGCAGUAGAUAUGUGAGAGAGAGGUGGGGGAGGAUUGCUUAGUGACUGCCAACUCCAAA